rnacentral:piRNA from 1 species
UGCCCUCUCUUUGCACCAGUGCC